UAGGGAAUCUUCGGCAAUGGGGGGAACCCUGACCGAGCAACGCCGCGUGAGUGAAGAAGGUUUUCGGAUCGUAAAGCUCUGUUGUUAAGGAAGAACGAGUGUGAGAAUGGAAAGUUCAUGCUGUGACGGUACUUAACCAGAAAGGGACGGCUAACUACGUGCCAGCAGCCGCGGUAAUACGUAGGUCCCGAGCGUUGUCCGGAUUUAUUGGGCGUAAAGCGAGCGCAGGCGGUUAGAAAAGUCUGAAGUGAAAGGCAGUGGCUCAACCAUUGUAGGCUUUGGAAACUGUUUAACUUGAGUGCAGAAGGGGAGAGUGGAAUUCCUAGUGUAGCGGUGAAAUGCGUAGAGAUUAGGAGGAACACCGGUGGCGAAAGCGGCUUUUUGGCCUGCAACUGACACUGAGGCGCGAAAGCGUGGGGAGCAAACAGG
rnacentral:rRNA from 1 species